UAUUUCCCUUUAUUACUUCGUCACUCUCACCGACUCUACCUCAAUCUUUUAUCUCUAUCUUGUUCCUUUGUUCUUUCCUCAAUUCCACCCCCAACCAAAAGCUUCAUGGAAACAUCCAACAGUAACAGUGUCCCUCAACGUCCCACCUUUCGCUCUUUCCGCUGCUCCUGUUUCAGACGCUGCUGCCGCUGCUUCUGCUGUUUCUACUCCUACCCAUAACCCCCCACCUUUGCCAACACCCUCCCAUUUGAAUGAAACUAAGAAAGAAACUACGAGAAUGUCUAGAAGGUUUGUUGCAUCACUCUCAACAAAUGUGCCAUUUAUGGUUCCAUCUCUCCUGGAGGAGCGAGAAUUGUGACUAGUAUGCUGAUAUUUCUGAGAUUCUGGUACCCCUGUUAUGACUUCGAGAGGCUGGUUAGAAGAUGAUUUCGAGACAAUUGCUGAUUUUCAUUUUAGGAUAGCUCGAAUGGACAUGGGAAAUCAUGUAAAGAUUUUCUUAGGAAUGCUCAGAAUAAUGAAAAUGUUAUUGAGCUCAGAAAUCAAGUUGAGACAUUUGCUAAACCCGUUCGGUUUUGUUCUUAGCUAAGUUAGCUCUUGUAAAUUUUAGAUGCAAAUAGAAGUGAGAUCAUAUUUCCAUGGCUAUACUUUGAUAUUGUACAAAGAUUACCCUUAUUUCCAGCCACAGUUUUUGUGGCUUUGUUUAUAAGGAACUUCAGUAAUUACUUAACACUGCUAGAACAGGAAUUAAAGAGUGAUUACCUUUCAUUUCUCA